GAUGAAGAACGUAGCGAAAUGCGAUACGUAGUGUGAAUUGCAGAAUUCAGUGAAUCAUCGAAUCUUUGAACGCACAUUGCACCUCUCGGUACUCCGGGAGGUAUGCCUGUUCGAGCGUCAUUUGUACCCUCAAGCUCUGCUUGGUGUUGGGUGUUUGUUCCGCCUCUGUGUGUGAACUCGCCUCAAAACAAUUGGCAGCCGGCGUACUUGUUUCGGAGCGCAGCACAUUUUGCGAUCCAGAUCAACGUACAGCGGCAUCCAAGAAGCCUUAUUUAACGCUCUUGACCUCGGAUCAGGUAGGGAUACCCGCUGAACUUAAGCAUAUCAAUAAGCGGAGGA
rnacentral:misc_RNA from 1 species